GAGGACGAACGCUGGCGGCGUGCUUAACACGAUGCAAGUCGAACGGUGAAGCCUUUCGGGUGGAUCAGUGGCGAACGGGUGAGUAACACGUGGGCAAUCUGCCCUGCACUCUGGGACAAGCCCUGGAAACGGGGUCUAAUACCGGAUAUUACCUUCUGCCGCAUGGUGGGGGGUGGAAAGCUUCGGCGGUGCAGGAUGAGCCCGCGGCCUAUCAGCUUGUUGGUGGGGUGAUGGCCUACCAAGGCGACGACGGGUA
rnacentral:rRNA from 1 species